rnacentral:rRNA from 1 species
UUGACACCGUAACUUCGGAAGAAGGUGUGCCUUUAGUAGGUGAAGUCCCUCGCGGAUGGAGCCCAAUGAGGUUGCAAAAAAUCGGUGGCUGCGACUGUUUAUUAAAAACACAGCACUCUGCAAACACGAAAGUGGACGUAUAGGGUGUGACGCCUGCCCGGUGCUGGAAGAUUAAAUGAUGGGGUGCAAGCUCUUGAUUGAAGUCCCAGUAAACGGCGGCCGUAACAAUAACGGUCCUAAGGUAGCGAAAUUCCUUGUCGGGUAAGUUCCGACCUGCACGAAUGGCGUAACGAUGGCCACACUGUCUCCUCCUGAGACUCAGCGAAGUUGAAAUGUUUGUGAUGAUGCAAUCUCCCCGCGGAAAGACGGAAAGACCCCAUGAACCUUUACUGUAGCUUUGUAUUGGACUUUGAACAGAUCUGUGUAGGAUAGGUGGGAGGCUUUGAAGCAGGGUCGCUAGAUCUUGUGGAGCCAACGUUGAAAUACCACCCUGGUGUGUUUGAGGUUCUAACCUAGGCCCGUAAUCCGGGUUGGGGACAGUGCAUGGUAGGCAGUUUGACUGGGGCGGUCUCCUCCCAAAGUGUAACGGAGGAGUUCGAAGGUACGCUAGUUACGGUCGGACAUCGUGACGAUAGUGCAAUGGCAUAAGCGUGCUUAACUGCGAGACUGACAAGUCGAGCAGAUGCGAAAGCAGGACAUAGUGAUCCGGUGGUUCUGUAUGGAAGGGCCAUCGCUCAACGGAUAAAAGGUACUCUGGGGAUAACAGGCUGAUACCGCCCAAGAGUUCAUAUCGACGGCGGUGUUUGGCACCUCGAUGUCGGCUCAUCUCAUCCUGGGGCUGUAGCCGGUCCCAAGGGUAUGGCUGUUCGCCAUUUAAAGAGGUACGUGAGCUGGGUUUAAAACGUCGUGAGACAGUUUGGUCCCUAUCUUCCGUGGGCGCUGCAGAUUUGAGGAAGCCUGCUCCUAGUACGAGAGGACCGGAGUGGACGCACCUCUGGUGUAUCGGUUGUCACGCCAGUGGCAUUGCCGAGUAGCUAUGUGCGGAAGAGAUAACCGCUGAAAGCAUCUAAGCGGGAAACUCGUUUCAAGAUGAGAUCUGCCGGGGCCUUGAGCCCCCUGAAGAGUCGUUCAAGACCAGGACGUUGAUAGGUCGGGUGUGGAAGCGCAGUAAUGCGUUAAGCUAACCGAUACUAAUUGCUCGUGCGGCUUGACCU